GAAGACUGCAUGACGUACUUGUCUCCAGAUAUAGGACCAUCUGCACCAACUGACAGGGGAGGAACAUAAAUUCUGAAUUAUGGGCCACUGGCUUAUUUGUCCCGUAGUCCUCAUUAGAACUUCACAUCCCCUUUCAUGUUACAAUAUCUGAUAGGUUCCUGUCGUUGUUUAGCCCCAGCUGGCAGCUCAGCACCACGCGGCCGCUUGUUCACUCCUUCCCUCCACCGGUGGGAUGGGGUGGAGUAUCGGAAGAAAAAGGUGACAUCAGCACAUAACCUGUGAAGGGAGAGGCUGAGGGACCAGGUCUGGAGAAGAGUUCACGGAAACCUAACAGCAGCCUGCAAAGGUCUACAAAUGGUAGUCAGGAAGAUGGAUCCUGGCUCUUCACAACAGUAAAUGGUGGGAGGACAAGAGAUGAGGAAUGUGACUUGAAAUGAGAAAAGUUUCACAUUGGAUAGAAGGAAAACCUUUUUCACUCUGAGAACAGUCAAGCAAAGGAACAGGUAGCCCAGGGGUUAUGCAGUACCCAUCCUUAAAGAUUUUUACGACACAACUGGUAAAAGUCCCGAGCAACAUGGUCUGACCUCACAGCUGACCCUGCUUUGGUCAGAAAUUUGGACUAAAGACCUCCUGAGGUCUCUUCCAACAUGAAUUAUCCUAUGAUCCUUUACAGUCACACAGUUAUAAAAUUCUAAGGCUAUAGGUGAUGUUCUUCAUCUUUUGAGCAUUGUGUUCUUGAAUCCUCUGCAGCUUCUUCCUUCCGAGGCAAGUCACAGAGGCUGACAUGCUGAAGUAUGUUGCAAAACUACAUUUCAUUAGAAACAAUAUAUUUUAUUUUUCUUCUGUUUCGUUUAAUCUGAAAAUUAGAUUAAAUUUUCUUUCUAAAAGAAAUGAAAUACUUGUUACAGCUGACUGGAGGGAAGGAGAAGUAAAUGGGAAAGUUCUGUGCCCAUUAAAAGACAAAAUUACCUAAAAGGUAACUUUAAUAAUAUCCAAAGAUAUCAUCAUAAAUUAUCAGUUUUAUUUAUAGCUUUGGAAAUGAAAAACAGUCAUUUCUACCAAAGCUUCACUUCAAUUAGUCUAUUGAAAUUAAUGUGUUAUUACAUAUAAAUAUAUUGCAUUUUUUAUUUUUAUUACUCUUUUUGCUUUAAUCAGUGUCAUCACUGAAUAACUGUGCUUUCUAAAAAAGUUUUGAAAAAUUUCAAUUUCUUGUGCAUCAGGUAUAGUUUUAUAAACUGUUAUUAGUACUGUACUUUGAACAAAACAAAUAGUUUAAAAUUAAUUAAGAAAAUAAUACUACUCUUAAAAGGAAAGUUAGUCCUUUUUAUCAUAAAUUAGCUUAAAUGUACAGAAGAAUGUAUUAUGUUUAGUGGGAGCCUUCAUCUUUAUAUCUAGUUUAUGAGUGUGGGUUGAGUGGUUAUGUUUUAAAUGUUCCAGAUGCCUAAUCCAGGACAGCAUCUAUUUGCCUUCAAUCUGAGUAUUUUCACUGUCUUUGUUACGUAAUGAAGGUGAUCUUCUUGCUCAAGAAAAUUCAUACAGGUAAAUUACAAAACUUCCUUGAGUUUUCCACCUUGAAAGAAGAGCCCAGAUAAGAGGGAGCUUUUUACAGAUUUCCUGAAAUCUCCCAAAAUUCUUGAAAAAUAAAUUUAUGUAGCAUCCUAAAAAAAAAGGUAUGCUGUCCUCGGUCUGAACAGAACUCUAACUUGUGGAAUAUAUGUAACCUUCUAACAUGUCUACCUCACGCAGUAGGUCACUGGGUGCACUAUCCGAAGAAAGGCCUUGUACAAAAGCCCAAGUUCAGAAUUGUAAUACUAGAAAAGAAAACUGCGUGAGGAGGAAUGAGCUUUGCCUAGAUUUCUCUUUGCAAAGUAUUUUUCCGUUGUAUUUUACCUUCUCUUGAGAUGUCUUUGCUUGUUCGUGUGAGCACUAAAUUCUCUCUGCAGAGAGGCCAAAAAUUAUAUGCAGUGAUAGCAUAACAAGCUAUGAAGACAGAACCAACUCAAAAUGUCCUUUGGCUUGAUGGCUAGUAAUACUUAGAUCUGAACUAAUAACGAUUCUUAUAUUAGAUUGUCAGUUGUGCUACCAAUAAAGUCUUGGCUAUAUUUAUGGUCUAUUUCUUUUCUAUGCUUAAGAUUUUGAGGGUGACACAGUUCAUAAGUUGCUGAACCUCCACUGAGAUGAUGGGGUCAUGCAUAUGUGUAACCUUGCUCCAAAACGUCAGAAAAUAUAAGCCACUCUUGAGUUAGGAAUAGCUCUUGCCUAAUUCUUAAUUUUUAACUUUUUAACUAAAUUAAUUCUUAAUUUAAAAAAUCCUAGUCAUGGUGUUCUUCUAGGACUUCUGCAACAGAAAUUUGAGACUUCAUGACUUUCUUCAGAAAAAAAAUAGCACAUAAAUUGAGUGUGGGGAGGUUGUUUUUAUGACUUCUUGAAACAUGUUCUACUGCACAAAGAUUCAUUUCAUCCACUUAUUAUAUGAUAAAUAGAUUAAUAUGGCUUUGUAUUACUGCCUCUACACCUUGCUAUUGCACUUUUGGUUGACUUGAUAAUAAAUAGUAACAGCUGAGACAAAUUGUAUUCUCUGGAAAAUACAUAGUGUGUGUAUUAUAAGCUCUAUGCAUGCACUUUUAUUGUAUUUUCUAAAAUUUCUUUAACUUUUGUCAAAAUAUUAUUUCAGGUAAAACCUUAUGCAUAAAAGUUGUAAGCUGGUGUGAAGAAUGGUUUUAUCAGUGUUAAAUGUUCUUACUGUA